GGGAGGAAGCCGCCUGGAGCCGCCGGGAGUGGACGCCGCCGAGGCCCGGAGUCGCGCCUGCAGGCACAGCACCUGCUCAGCGUGGGUCACCUCUGUGAGCAUCACUGACUGCAAGCCUCCCUCAAUUUCUGGUAAAUUUUUUCCUUCAAGCUUUUUGAGGUCAGGGGAAGAAUCCUCCACAGAUCUUCAUGAGUCUGGUCCCAGAUCACUAACAGUUAAAGGUUUUAUGGUGGGGAGAACUUCUGCGCCACUUGGCUUCCAUUAGCCUGCCCACUCUGACCACACAAUGCAGGUGCAGCCCAUCAGGGACCCACAGCGCCUGGGAGGAUGGUGCGGAUCUUGGCCAAUGGGGAAAUUGUGCAGGAUGACGACCCCCGAGUGAGGACCACUACCCAGCCACCAAGAGGUAGCAUUCCUCGACAGAGCUUCUUCAACAGGGGCCAUGGUGCUCCCCCAGGGGGUCCUGGCCACCGCCAGCAGCAGGCAGGUGCCAGGCUGGGUGCUGCUCAGUCCCCCUUCAAUGACCUCAACCGGCAGCUGGUGAACAUGGGCUUUCCUCAGUGGCAUCUCGGCAACCAUGCUGUGGAGCCGGUGACCUCCAUCCUGCUCCUCUUCCUGCUCAUGAUGCUUGGUGUUCGUGGCCUCCUCCUGGUUGGCCUUGUCUACCUGGUGUCCCACCUGAGUCAGCGGUGACCUCUGGGGGCUGUUGGGGGUGGGCUUGUUGAGAGGGACUUGCUGGGUCUUGG
rnacentral:sRNA from 1 species